GGGCCCGCACAAGCGGUGGAGCAUGUGGUUUAAUUCGACGCAACGCGAAGAACCUUACCUACACUUGACAUCCUCGGAACUUUCUAGAGAUAGAUUGGUGCCUUCGGGAACCGAGUGACAGGUGCUGCAUGGCUGUCGUCAGCUCGUGUCGUGAGAUGUUGGGUUAAGUCCCGUAACGAGCGCAACCCUUAUCCUUAUUUGCCAGCGGUUCGGCCGGGAACUUUAAGGAGACUGCCGAUGACAAAUCGGAGGAAGGUGGGGACGACGUCAAGUCAUCAUGGCCCUUACGUGUAGGGCUACACACGUGCUACAAUGGCUGGUACAAACGGUCGCAAACCCGCGAGGGGAGCCAAUCCGAGAAAGCCAGUCGUAGUCCGGAUUGGGGUCUGCAACUCGACCCCAUG
rnacentral:rRNA from 1 species